rnacentral:lncRNA from 10 species
CAAAUUGCUACCCAUAUUAAGAAUGAAACAGGAGCUCCAUUACAUAUUCUACAGACAUCACAGGUAGUGAGAGUUGAAGCCAGUUGGACUUCCCAGGUCGAGUGGGGACUUGGAGAACUUUUCUGUCUAGCUAGAGGAUUGUAAACACACCAGUCAGUGCUCUGUGUCUAGCUAAAGGACUGUAAAUGCACCAAUCAGCACUCUGUAAAAUGGGCCAAUUGGCACUCUGUAAAAUGGACCAAUCAGCAGGAUGUGGGUGAAGACAAAUAAGGGAAUAAAAACGGGCCACCCCAGCCAGCAGCAGCAACCCACUUGGGUCCCCUUCCACACUGUGGAAGCUUUGUUCUUUCACUCUUCACAAUAAAUCUUGCUGCUGCUCACUCUUUGGGUCCAUGCCACCUUUAAGAGCUGUGACACUCACUGCGAAAGUCCACAGCUUCAUUCUUGAAGUCAGCGAGACCAAGAAUUCACCGAAAGGAACCAACUCCGGACACAUCUUGGUGACCCAGAUGCGACUAUUGCCAAGUGGAUCGAGGCCAUCAAACUACAGAUGGUCUUACAAGUGGAACCCCAAAUGAGCUCAACUAACCACUUCUACUGAGGACCCUUGGACUGACCUGCUGGCCCUUUGACUGGCCUAAAGAGUUCCCCUCUGGAGGACACUACAACUGCAGGGCCCUUUCUUUGCCCCUAUCCAGCAGGAAGUAGCUAGAACAGUCAUUGCCCAAUUCCCAACAGCAGUUGGGGUGUCCUAUUUAGAGGGGGGAUUGAGAGGUGAAGCCAGCGGAACUUCCUAGGUUGAGUGGGGACUUGGAGAACUUUUCUGUCUAGCUAGAGGACUGUAAAUGCACCAGUCAGUGCUCUGAGUCUAGCUAAAGGAUUGUACAUGCACCAAUCAGCACUCUGUAAAAAACGCACCAAUCGGCACUCUGUGCCUAGUUAAAGGAUUGCAAAUGCACCAAUCAACACUUUGUAAAAAAACACCAAUCAGUGCUCUGUGUCUAGCUAAAAGAUUGUAAAUGCACCAAUCAUCACUCUGUAAAAUGGACCAAUUGGUGCUCUGUAAAAUGGACCAAUCAGCAGGAUGUGGGUGGGGACAAAUAAGGGAAUAAAAGCUGGCCACCCCAGUCAGCAGCAGCAACCCACUCAGGUCCCCUUCCACUCUGGGAAGCUUUGUUCUUUUGCUCUUCACAAUAAAUCUUGCUGCUGCUCA